UACGUAGGGGGCUAGCGUUGUCCGGAAUCAUUGGGCGUAAAGCGCGCGUAGGCGGCCCGGUAAGUCCGCUCUGAAAGUCCAGGGCUCAACCCUGGAAAGCGGGUGGAUACUGCCGGGCUAGAAUCCGGAAGAGGCGAGUGGAAUUCCUGGUGUAGUGGUGAAAUGCGUAGAUAUCGGGAGGAACACCAGUGGCGAAGGCGACUUCCUGGCCUGUUCUUGACGCUGAGGCGCGAAAGCUAGGGUAGCAAACGGG
rnacentral:rRNA from 1 species